rnacentral:rRNA from 1 species
AACGAACGCUGGCGGCAGGCCUAACACAUGCAAGUCGAGCGCUCCGCAAGGAGAGCGGCGGACGGGUGAAUAACACGUGGGAAUAUGCCUUUCGGUACGGAAUAACGCAGGGAAACUUGCGCUAAUACCGUAUACGCCCUCAGGGGGAAAGAUUUAUCGCCGAAAGAUUAGCCCGCGUAGGAUUAGCUAGUUGGUGAGGUAACGGCCCACCAAGGCAACGAUCCUUAGCUGGUUUGAGAGAACGAUCAGCCACACUGGGACUGAGACACGGCCCAGACUCCUACGGGAGGCAGCAGUGGGGAAUCUUGGACAAUGGGGGAAACCCUGAUCCAGCCAUGCCGCGUGAGUGAUGAAGGCCUUCGGGUUGUAAAACUCUUUCGCGCGCGACGAUAAUGACGGAAGCGCGAGAAGAAGCUCCGGCUAACUUCGUGCCAGCCGCCGCCGUAAGAC